UACGUAGGCAGCGAGCGUUGUUCGGAGUUACUGGGCGUAAAGAGUGCGUAGGCGGUUUUCUAAGUUUGGUGUGAAAUCUCCCGGCUUAACUGGGAGGGUGCGCCGAAAACUGGAAGGCUUGAGUAUGGGAGAGGUAAGCGGAAUUCCUGGUGUAGCGGUGAAAUGCGUAGACAUCAGGAGGAACACCUGCGGUGUAGACGGCUUACUGGACCAUAACUGACGCUGAGGCACGAAAGCGUGGGUAGCAAACAGG
rnacentral:rRNA from 1 species